AUGAACAAGAGUGAACGCCAACUUCUUGGCAACGACUUGAUCACAGAAGCCGAAGAAAUGUCCAAAGUCAUUCGUGAGAAUCUCAAAGCCGCGCAAUCGCGCCAAAAGAGUUACUAUGAUAGAAAGCACCGUGACUUGGCUUUUGAAAUCGAAGACCAUGUCUACCUCCGCGUAUCUCCAAUCAGAGGCACUCGCCGCUUCGGUAUCAAAGGGAACUUGUAG
rnacentral:rRNA from 1 species